rnacentral:rRNA from 1 species
GAGUUUGAUCGUGGCUCAGAUUGAACGCUGGCGGCAUGCCUUACACAUGCAAGUCGAACGGCAGCAUGAUCUAGCUUGCUAGAUUGAUGGCGAGUGGCGAACGGGUGAGUAAUACAUCGGAACGUGCCCUGUAGUGGGGGAUAACUAGUCGAAAGAUUAGCUAAUACCGCAUACGACCUGAGGGUGAAAGUGGGGGACCGCAAGGCCUCAUGCUAUAGGAGCGGCCGAUGUCUGAUUAGCUAGUUGGCGGGGUAAAGGCCCACCAAGGCGACGAUCAGUAGCUGGUCUGAGAGGACGAUCAGCCACACUGGGACUGAGACACGGCCCAGACUCCUACGGGAGGCAGCAGUGGGGAAUUUUGGACAAUGGGCGAAAGCCUGAUCCAGCAAUGCGCGUGUGUGAGAAGG